rnacentral:lncRNA from 1 species
CAUAGUGAGGUUAUUGUAGUUUGACUGCACAUAUACAUGGUCUCUAGUCAUAUGGGUCCUUGUUAUGUAGAUUGGCUGCAGUAGGUUCACUGUAGGAGUAGGGUAUGCACUUACAUGGAAUCUAUCGACCUUGAUAGAAGAGGAGUGAUCCUAUGUGAUUUAUUAGACUGAGUUCUAAGAUCUUGGCUAGGGCAGUAAUAUAAAGCGGAGAAAGAGUUUUUCACUAUCGAACUCAAGUCAAAUAAAUCUAGACAUAUGACAGACGACGGGGUUUGACGAGUUAUCCAUGACCUUCAGUCUGUAGGGAUCCAUGAUAGAAGGACUGUAUCAUACGAUAACUGCACAUAGAAAUUCAUCAUUCUAUUCUGCUGGGUGGCCACUACAUACUGCUAGGUAUCACUGGUGGAUGGUGAGACUCACAGGGAUCAUCUUGAUGGUCGAUAAUCCCUGGUGAGUUGAGUUGGAAUUGUUUCAACCCAUUGAAAGGAGUUUUCAAUGAUAUUGUGAUAGAGAUUGCAAUAUAUCUUACUACCAGUCAGAAUAGAACCUAUGGGGUCACACACAUUAGAGGUAUUGACCGAUCCGAUGGUUGAAUAUGAUUAGGAAUCACAAAUAAUCAAUUAGAUUGAUAAAUGGUUAACCCGCUAAGAGUUAGUGGUUAGAAGAAGGAAUAAUUGCAAUCGGAUUGCAAUUUAAUUUAAUUAAUUGAAUUUAAUUAAUUGGACUUGAUUAUGAAUCCUACUUGGAGUGGGAUUCAUAAAGUCCUAAUUGGAUUAGGAUUUUAAAUUAAAUUAGAAUCCUAUUUGGAAUAGAAUUUCUAAAGUCCUAAUUGUCUUAGGGCUGAAAUUUAAACAAGUCCUGAUUAGAUUAGGAUUUUCUCAAGUUCUAAUUAAUUUUAAUUUUAAUCUAAUUAAUUAAAUGACUCCUAAUUGGAUUAGGAUUGAUUAAAUUCUAAUUGGAUUAGGAUUUGGAGGAAUUAAAUUGGGUUCAUUUAAUCCUUUUUAGAAAAGGAUUGGGUCCCUAACUAUGUGGCUAAACCCACCCCACUUAAUAUGAUUAAGUGGGGUGUGAGAAUAGAAGGGAGAAGAGGGAGGGGCCCACGCCCCUCCCUUGCUUGCGUGAGAUGAAAAGGAGGGGCUAUGCCCCUCCUCUCUUGGAAAAUAAUAUGAUAAUGAUGAGCUCCUAAAAAGUAGGAGCUCAUCCUUAUGUAUUAUAGCNNNNNNNNNNNNNNNNNNNNNNNNNNNNNNNNNNNNNNNNNNNNNCUGGGAGUUCACCGCAGCAAGUCCCUUCUUCCUUUCUCCUUUCAGCCACAAGGGAAAAGAAAAAGAAAGGGAGGCGUGGUGGCCCUUCUUCCUCAUAUUCUUGGUUCCAACAAAAAGAAAAAGGAAAAGGCUGCAAGUGUGUUGUUCUUGCUCCUUUUGAUCCAUCCUUCUUCCUCCUCCUCCCUAAGCAUUCAAGAGUUGAUUGAAAGGGAGGACUUCAGUCAUCAAAAGCCAUCUCUACAAAGGAGCUAGCACCCCGGGGAGAUACGAAGGCUUCGAUCGGUUCAAUAUUUCGUGUGGAUACCCGUAGAGGCCGGACGCGUGUGCGGCUUCCAUUGAACCUUCACCAAAUACCACAUGAAUCAGAUUUGCGGAGACCAUCUACCCGCACAAGGUGAAGAUCUGAUCUUCUUAAUGAUUUUAAAAUGGUUUAAAAUAAUUUAAUUCUAAUUUAUCUACAAACGAAAGGUUUUAAAAUACGUUAAUGCGAUGAACGGAUCCCGCAUAUGUUUUUCCGCUGCAAUCUGAAAAUUAUUUCGAAAUUUUCAUGACAUAUGAGGGAUGCUAACAGAGGCUCCAUAUUCCCAGCUUCCUCCCACAUAAUCAACAUUCUUCCAACGUCACAGCAGGACCCGUGUCCAAGCCUCCCGGAUCGCACGUCCGGGUAUCCCAUGGCCAGCCGGGAUGCGCAUCCCGGAUGACCGCCUCCUCCCAGAUUCCAGUUCCCUCUGCAUUUCAGCCGUUCGUGAUUCACUUCCUAGAUUCCAGCCUUCCGCAUCCGCUUCCCUCUUCGUUUCAGCAUUCCCAGCGAUUUUCCAGCUUCCGAAUCCCAGCAAUUGCAUUCCAACCUUCUGCAUCAGCAUCCAGCCAUCCGCGUCCAGCAAUCGCAUUUCCAUCCUUCCAUCCUAGCGUCCGGGAUACUCGGCAGCUAGCACGAAAGGAGCAUCUAGUGCGUCUGUUCACACUCCUCUCCAUGUUAUCCCAUGUGAUCAAGGGAUCCAUCAGGGGAUAUAGAAUAGCUCUCCCUCGGCUGAAAAGGGAUCUCUGAUUCAAAAAAAAAAAGAAAUAGAGGAUGCUCUAUUUUCCAAAAGGAAAAGAAAAAGAAGAAGAAGAGAGGCUAAUGUAUUUAAUGGGAGGCUGAUUUCUUAGGUGAAGGGUGAUGGAGGAACCUUUGAUAUAUUGCUUUCUUUGAAGUAAACUCUGAACCUUUGCUCUUAUUGAUUUAUGUUUUCGAUGUGUUAUGGAUUCUUGCAUAAUUAUUUUGUAGAUAAUUCUUUAAUGGUUUGUGUCUAUUGAUAUAUAGAUUGCUUUCGUAUUUGAUUUGUCAUAGACAUAAUAGGCAUGAUGAAUACUUAGAAGUCGUCUUCAUGUGUUCAUGAAAUUUAUACCAUGAUUAGAUCUAUCCUACUAUUAAUCUUUAAUCAAGAACUAUAGAGUUUAUUUCUUGGAUGCGAUAUCAUCAAGGGGGAUUCCGGAUCCCCAACCAUCUCUAUUUCAUUGAACUUUGUUUAAUUACUUAUUAUUCUCUGCUUUCAAUUCAUAAAAACCAUCUGAAAUUAUAUCUGAAAUUACGCUAAUAAUACAUAAACCGCUCCCUAAGGAAUCGACCUCGGACUUCUAAGUUAUACUACUUGUGCGAUUUUCCUGCACUUGGGAGAGCAGUUUUGCGAACGCACCAUAUGCCAACUAUUAUACCCAUUAGCAGGGCCAUAUGCCAACUAUUAUACUCGUUGGCGAGGGCUGCAUAUAGCUAUCUGAGAGUCUGAAUCUUAUUUCUUAAAUCAUAUUUUCAUAUGUUAUUUUUUUUCAAAAUAUAUUUUUCGUUAAGUACAUGAAUAAGACAGUAAAUAGCUUUAUUGAAUUCAUAAUCCCUAAAUAUUCUUUAACAAUAAAACUGACAUUAAAUCAUUUAUGGUAAAUUAGCUAUUUUCAUAAAAGUUUAUAAUUUAUAAUUAGGCCAUAUGUAUCAUUUUCCUAGCAAAAUGCAAUUUUUCAUAAUUUAGAAAUCAUUCACAUAAGAGGAUCCAUGAAAUAAUGCUAUUUGACAUAAAAACAUAAAUCAUUUCACAAUCAUAUGCUUGAUCCUAAAUUCUCACAAAAAUGCAUAGCCAAUUUUAUCAAUAUAAGUUUUAUCUUCAUUCUUCAUAUAAAUUAAAAUUGUAUAGUAACUCAAAAAUUAGUAAGUUCAUGUCAAGGCCACUUACCUCUAUUUGCUUAAAAAUCGCAAAGUUCAAUUGCGCAAAUCAGCUAAACCUUUUAAAAGUCAUUUAAGAAUAUAAAUUAAUUCAUGUUCAAGUAUGUAAAAUCUAAAUACAAAAUAAGGAAGUCUAGGGGACUGAAAUGGGCUUGGUCAUGAAUCAUGUCCAAAUCGGGGGAAACAGGUAAGAAAGACCAGCUAACAUUGGUCUAGAAUCCUAUAUCAAGGUCCAUCCAAUGGGUACAUAGAGAAGGAGACAAGCAAGAGAUGGGAUCUAUUAUUUUAUUUAUUAUAUUAUAUUUUAUUUGUGUCUCUUCUCUCUUGUUUUUGGUCUUUUUUUUCUUCUUUCUUCUCUCUCUCUCUCUCCUAUAUUCUUCUCCAUAUGCUGGUUAAUGAUUAAGGUGUUUUAUGUGACCUUUCGAAAAUAAUUUUCUACUGUUAUCCUUAGUUCCUUUCACACGUAAAAAUAUAGCAAAAUUUGAAACCUAAGUUUAACUUUAUCCAUCUUCUUCUUUUGAACUUGCUUUUGUCAUAGUUAUACUUUCAUUCUUGUAGUUUCUAUCCAACUAUUUUUAGUUUUAAAAUCACUGCUUUCAUCUGCUUCGCAAAGCAUGAAUGUUACAAUCUCUCUCACCACGGGCUACUAUAACAUCUUUUGUAUUUGUACUUUUAUCCUUCCAAUUUGGGAAGCACAUUCUCCUUUGCAGAGUACCCUUCAUUAUUUCUUUCAGUUUUUGGCUUCCAAUUUCAAUGCCUUGAGAUCAGACAAUGAAUGCAUAAUGGACAAUAGCAAACCCAUUGUUUAUUCAAGUGCCCUCUAUCCCACUUGUUGAUGGUGACUUAUCAUGCUUGGUUUCUCAAAUACACUCCUUGCUUCUGAUUAAUAAUUAAUAUUUUUGAUUAAUGCAUUUUAAUUAAGGUAGGUUAGUAAUCCCUCAAAAAAAAAAAACUUCAAAGUAGACAUUUAAACUAAAAGAGGAAAUGAAAGUUUAACCUUAAUAGUAAGAAUCUUGUCUAACACUUCGGGAUAUCUUCUUCCUUCCUGAGCCUUCUCUUGUUCUUCUUCUCCUCUCAUAUUAAAGAUUCAAACAUGAAUUGUGGUGAAUAAUCACCACACUUUUAUUAUAAGAAAAAAAUAAUCUUAACCUGUUUCUUUUAGGCAACAAAAGUGACAAACUUAUUAAGUUAAACAAGAAAUAGGUUUUAGCAAAAAAAAAAACAAGAAAUAGAAGGAUAUCAUUAAGGUCUUGAUGUCAGCCAAGAGCUCGGUUUGUGAUCGCACUGGGCAUCCUUCCCAGCCAAACCCAACCCACUUAGGCGCCUACCUGGGCGAUGCUGCGUUGUCUGGGCCUCCCAAUUUCGUAAGGCGCUCGCCCAGCCCAGCCCAGCCCAGCCCACUCAGAAUAGUAUCCGACCCAUAACAUUUUAGCCCGCCAGGCUUGACUCAACCCCCGUUUACCGGCGAAAUGAUAAGGAACGGAAAAUGGUUUUAGCAAGAAGAAACGGAAAAUGGCCGAAAGGCUUCUUUCUUUCUCUCUCUGCUUCUAGGGCAAGAAAGGAGCUCCGUUUCUCGGCAGCGACUAGAGACCAACAAGGGCCGGCGUAGAUCGGCGGUGAUCAGGAAGGCCGCAAGGUAGCUCCUUGUCUCUCUCCCUGUCGAUCUUUCGAUCGUUGCUUCUUUCUCUUUCUUUUUUCCCUGAGAGAAGGGAUUUUUUCUUCUGUAAAUCUAUUUAGGGGCUGGCCAGAUACCUCUGGGGUAAGAGGGUUCUAAUCCUUUGGUCGCCGUCUCAAGAAAAAAUAGAAAAACGAUAACCGAUGAUAUUGUUCCUCAUCUUUUGUGUCCUGUCCUUUUUUUUUGUUUUUUAAUUUCCAUUUUUUUCCAUUUUAAUUUUGGAGUUACAAUUGAUGUUGUGGAGAGGAUAUUUCUUUGGUAUAUUUUCACGCUUCUAGGUAUUGAUCAUCAUUUCUGGUCUAUUUUGAUGAUGAAUUAAUUUAUAUCAGGACUUCUAUUCUAUGUUUUAGCUUGAGUAGGAUUGGGAAUUUAAAAUUAUGUGUUUGAAUCCAGUGAAUGUAUUUGGAAAUUUUAAAUUUUACAAUGGCUUCUUUUUUUUGUCAUGUUUCUUUGUUAUCUGUUUUAAGAAAAUGAGAAGUUAAAUUGUUUCAUUUCUCCUUCUGUUUGGUAUCUUGUAUUAUUCUCUGUUUUCAUGUAUUUUAUGUUGUAGCAACAUACUAGUGUUAUUACCAUGACGAUGGGACUAAGUAGUGACAUAACAGUGAUGCCACUAUUUUCAUAUUAGUACGUAGUGGCAUACUAGUGCUACUACCAUUAUUAAAAUAGUAACUUGAAUAUGAUUUCUAUAUGUUUCUAAUUUCUUCUACAUUAUUUUUUGUUUUACCAUUGCUAGCAUAUCUUUGGAUCAUGUGAUAGUGAUAAUUUAUUGAGAACAAUGUGAGUUUUAAUCAAUAAUCGAAAUAUAUGCAUAUAUACAUUGUUUUUGUUUAAUUUUAUGCUAAUUUUGUUGCCUAGAUGUCACCUAAUUGCCUGGACCAUCAUCUAGGUUAUAGGAGACUUCAUCAUUAGGGGCUACUCGACAAUUAUGCCACUGAUAGAGUAUAAAAAUAUAAGCUGAUAUUUUUAAACACCUUGUUUCUUUCUAAAUAUGUUUUUGAUUAAAUAAAUUUCAAAGUCAAUGCCUAACAAUAAUUUCUAAUCCUGGAUAUGCCAUAGUGGCUGAAAUUUUGAUAGCUCUGUCCUAAAAUAUUGGUUGAGGUCUUGGAAAAAAUCUUGCAUCUUUCCUUAUUUUCAAGAUGAUAAAUAUCUCAUCUUUAUAAAAAACUUGCUCCAAAUUGAAGAUGAGUAGAUCGGUCGACUUUGUCUCUUCUUUUAAGCCUGUUACAAGCCUCUCUUAGUCUUUCCAAUAUGGAAAUCAAUUAAAACAUAUGUUUAAGGUUAAAACUUAGAAGCAUCACUUUCUUACCUCAAACCCCUUUUUUCGUAGGGACUUUAGAGCUUUAGUUUCCUUGGAAAUGCACUUAGGAUAGCAUCUUGAGAAAAGAAAAAAAAAGAACAGUAAAAAGGUAGUAAUGCAGUUUAUGGUGGCAAACGUUGAUGGGGUUAUAUAUGAUUGGUAGGGUUUAGGGAUUGGGUCAUGUUGAACGAAUUUGUCAUUGCACGUGGAUUGCAGUGGUUUGUGCCAAAUUGUAUUGACAUAUAGAUUCGAUGCUAACCAAUUGUAAUUAGUGUACUUAAUGAGGGUAAAACCCUCCCUAUGCAAACGUACAACAUCUGUAUUGAACUGACUAUUGAUUGGGACUUCAAACAGCAUGUAUUGGCUUAUGUGAUGUUGUUCUGAACGAUGCUUUAAAGUUUGAGUUAUCUAGUUUUUUUUUCUUCAUAUUAUCUGGAAACUUCUACAUAGGAUAGUGUUGGACAUACUCUGCCGCUGUGCGGGCCAUACCUUGCGGGGUUCCUGAGCAGCACUCGGGGGGGGGUCACUGAGUCAGCAUGUCCUGCCGCCUGCCAACGACGAUGGCUUGGUUAGUAGGUGAGUUAUACCCGAGGUGGGUUCCUGAACCCAUGGCGAGGCCUGGUCAGAGUCCAGGUGGGCGAGGCCUGGUUGGAGUCGACUCGUGGCGUUACCUCUUGGUGAGGUUUAAGAAAAUAAAGUUGCGUCUUNNNNNNNNNNNNNNNNNNNNNNNNNNNNNNNNNNNNNNNNNNNNNNNNNNNNNNNNNNNNNNNNNNNNNNNNNNNNNUCCAGGCAUCGCAUUGGGGGGGGGAAUGUUGGACAUACUCUGCCGCCGUGCGGGCCAUACCUUGCGGGGUCUCUGAGCAGCACGGGGGGUCACUGAGUCAGCGUGUCCUGUUGCCUGCCAACGGUGAUGGCCUGGUUAGUAGGUGGGUUAUACCCGAGGUGGGUCCCUGAACCCAUGGCAAGGUUUGGUCGGAGUCCAGGUGGGCGAGGACUGGUCGGAGUUGACUCGUGGCGCUGCCUCUUGGUACGGUUUAAGGAAAUAAAGUUGCGCCUUCACUAUCACCGGUCGGUUUUGGUGUAAUGGUAGUGCUUGAUCCUAACAACUGGUAUCAGAGCCACAGGUCUCGAGUUCGAAACCCAGGCUUCGCGUGGGGAGGGAAUGUUGGACAUACUCUGCCGCUGUGCGGGCCAUACCUUGCGGGGUCUCUGAGCAGCAUGGGGGGUCACUGAGUCAGCAUGUACUGCCGCCUGCCACCGGCGAUGGUCUGGUUAGUAGGUGGGUUAUACCCGAGGUGGGUCCUUGAACCCAUGGCAAGGCAUGGUCGGAGUCCAGGUGGGCGAGGCCUUAUCGGAGUCUACUCGUGGCGCUGCCUCUUGGUGCGGUUUAAGGAAAUAAAGUUGCGCUUUCACUAUCACCGGUCGGUUUUGAUUUAAUGAUAGCGCUUGAUCCUAAAAGAUAGCAUAUCCACUUUGGAAACUUGUAAUUGCACCCACUUCUUGGAUGCUUCCUUGUUAAAAGGUUUUGAGAGAUCUGCUUCCUGUGCUUCCAAACAGAUCUACUCCUGUACCCACUUUUGCUUCUGACAACUAAGGUUUUAUGACUAUCUAUUCUUAUGAGAAUCUCCUAUUUAUAUUAUGCAAUCUUUUUUGAUGAAUCAUAAAGGUGAAAAUUGGAAGGAAAAACUUGCUGAAAAUUUUUAAAUCUUAUAAAUCUUUAUCAAGACAUUAUUGUAUGUCAUGAUAACAUGAUGCUUAUCUAGUAAACUAAUCACUGGUUUCAUUACUACAUUACUUCUUGAUUGACACACCCCUUGUUUCAACUUACCUGGUCUGGUGGUCCUAAACAUUUGCUCAUUUAUCACCUGGAGAUUGAAAGGAAAAAAUUGAUUAAUUUAGUUUUGUUAAUUUAGCAUAAAUUGUAUAAAUCUUUAUCAUGACAUCUAAUUUAGUAUUUCUUUCAUGUAUCUAGUUUGCUGUGUUUUCCCUCUUUAUUUCUCAAAAGAUAAGUUUGUUUACUCUUUUGAUUAUUUAAAUUUUGGAACACAUUUUAACAUGCUGAUUAUGAAAAUUGGUUUCAUCAAUUGCCACCGUUAUCAUUGUGGAGGUUGUUUAUGUUUUUCAUCAUUAGCCUGCUUUUGGAUUGAAGGUUCAUGCCCUCUAUCUACUUCCAUCUCCUGUUUGUUACAGUAUAGUGAAGACAGGUUCUUCCAAUCACUAGUUGUCAUCUCCAAUUUGGUCCACCAGUUCCCUGCUUCCCUAUGUUGGAUAGAUUAGUUUCAAGAAGUUAGGCCCAGAAAUGCCAUUUUUUUAAUGAAAUGAAGGUAGAACAGUUUAAAUCUAUCUUGCAUUUUGAAACUCUUUGUUGAAGUAGCUCAUUUCCUAUCAACUCAAUGAGUUUAUAUGUACUAAUCCUGAUGUUCAUGAGGGUUGUUAUGCAUAUAUUAUUGAGAAUAGGGUACUCCAGGGAUUUGUAUGAAUGAUUUCUAUUUCUUUUGGCAGUAAUUUUAUGGUAGUUCCUCAUACACCAGUACCAAUUCUACUUCAGUUCUUAUGUAUCUAAUUAAUGCUACACACAUAUUAUUUCCUUGCCAAUCAACGGGAUGAAUUAUUGGGUUUUUUUAUCUUCCUGUUGUUGAUAGAUGUAAUUUUUGAUGCUUGAAUAUUGGCAGUUGAGAAAGAGUGGAAAUUGUUUCUGGAUGGAAAGUUGCAAAUUUUAAUUGCAAACUAUUUAAAUUUGGUUUCCUGAUAUUUUGUUAACUGUGAUGCCGAAUCUUUCAAUGAUCAAAACAGCCUGAAAUAAUUGCUUUGCAGCAUUCCUAAAUAUAUUCUGUGCACUAUAGAAUGUAAUCAUUGAGAAUGUCAAGGGGUCAUUGCCAACCGAGAAAUCAGCCUGGAAGGAGAACUCUCGAAAGGUGCAAAAGCAAAAGCACUGUUGCGAAUGUAGAGAUCAUUGAUGUUGACAAAGGCAAAAGUGAUGUGGUCAUCAUUGAUGUCCCAGAGAGUUCCGAUCAGGAGUCUAGAUGCUUCAGGGCAAAAACAAGAGAUUGUCGUCCUAAUGUUAUUAGUAUUGAUGAUGAAGAGGGAGGUAUUGAUGGGGCUCCUAGUAAUGCAUGUUAUGCUACCACAAGCAGAACAUUUCGCCCCUUGUCUGGCAACUCUCCAUUUUAUGAAGAAGUGGAUAGUGAUGAAUGCCUAAUGUUUGUUGGAAAGGGAACAUUCCCAUCUAAGUUGACCGUAAAAGUGAAAAUGCACCCUAAAUGUGGUUAUCCUAGAAAUCGUUAUGGUCUAGAUCCUUCCUCAGAUAGCGGUACAUCUGAAAGUGAUAGUUCUGAAUUUUGCAUGUCUGAAGGAGACAGUUCGGAAGGUGACAGCUCCGAUUGUGAGAUUAUGGAAGACGCCUCUGGAGAGAUCUGUGAACGGUGGGAAAGAGCUGCUUUGAGGAAAAAAAUGUUGCAGAGGAGCCAAUUUGUUUCUGAGGAUCAGGCUAGUGCUUCAGGAUCUAGUGCUGAUCCUGGAUUUCAGUCAGAUGAAGCCAUUCAAAAUAUGGUUAAUAUAGAAAGUAUAAAUGAGUCCGACAAGGCAUAUUCAAAGCAUUUUGAAGAAGUACCUGGUGAAUGUGGUCCAAGCAUUUCAAGUAAUGGAAUGAACAGCUCUUCUAGGAUGACCAAUGCUGAUGAAUUUACUGAAGAUUCUCUACGGGGUAGUAAGGGGAACAGCUCUAUUGCAAAUUCAGAUCCUUCUACUGGUGUAAGUCAUGAUGGGCUUGGUUUCCAGAAGGAAGAACUAAUUUCGGAGGAAUGUUCCCACGGAGCACAGCCGUCUGAUGAAACCUGCUUUAGUCAUAAAAAAAAUUAUUUUCAGGACUUUGAAAUGGAGAAUUCCAUACAUAUCAGGGAUGAAGGUUUUAGUUUUCUGGAUAAAGAUGGACAAGGUCCUGUUGAAACUUGUUACUGUACAGCUGAACUUAGGGGUGAAACCAUAUUUCAAGGUGCAGAGAGUCCUUGUCCUGGAAUUCCACAGGAAGCUUGGGCUGGAAACACUUUAUUUUCUGAUAGUGUUUGUUUUCAGGACAGGAAGGAGCCUGACUUUGAAGAACAACCUUCAUGUCAUAACCAAUCACCACUUGACUCUGUUGUAAAUCAUGAUAUUGCUGCUCGGGAGAAAGAGGACAAGAAGGAACAUAGCCCUGAAGAAGAACCUUUGUGUCAGACCCGGUUAUCACAUGAUUCUGUUGUCAAUCAUGAACUCGCUGCUCAAGUGAAAGAGAACUCACAUAGUGAGCAAACCAUUCUGUUCGAUGAUCAACCACAAAUUGAUAUUGGAAAUCAGAGCUUCUGUCCUAGUCAGGAAGAUAUUUCUGAAGAACCAAUUUGCAAACCUAAUGAAGAAAGUGGAGCAACUGAGAGUUGUCCCUUAUAUAUGGAACCUGAUUUAUCUCAUAUUCAGAAUGAUUUAAUUAGGGCACGUGAAAAGCACAAGGAAUCUGAUGAGUACAAACGUGUUGAAGAAGAAGAAUGGGCAUCCAGGCAGCGGGAGCUACAGAUUCAGGUUUGACAUAUACCUAAAAAAAGUCAUCAGUUUCAUGUUCACUUGGUUUUUAUGUCUUGUAUUUCUAGAUAUGGUUUAUUUUUGUUUGCAUCAAUUUGGUAGGGUAGCCUGGUUCUUUGUGUUACUUCGAAGACAAUUCAAAUGUUUUUGCAUGUCCAUCUAUCCAUAACUCUUUUUGGUAAUUAAUUGCAAACCUUUUUCCUGAAAUGCUCCAUGAGAGUGCUAGAAAAAUUAUAGGAAAUUGAAUAUAGUGAGAAUGCAUGCAUAUGUUGCUUAUGACAUGAACUUCUUUUAAAGUAGUAUUGACGUUGGUCCUUUUAUUCUGUUCCUGCUUUGAUCAGAUUAUGUUACACUUUCCUAUUAUGUGACAAUUGAAGCAAGAGCAAGUGUACAUAAUCAAAUGUGGAAACUAUUGCUGUCCUUUUUACUUCUAGGCAUUAUCACACACGCUAAUGCUCAUAUGCCCAAAGAAAAGUAAUGAAUCAUGAACUAGAAGCAUUAAUAAAUUGAAAACAUACCAAACAAAACAAUUUAAAGUAUUAUUUUAAAAUAUCACUAAUAAAAUCACAGAGUUAGUUAAGAAUAUCUAAAACUAUAAAGCAAAAAAUUGUGAAGAUUUAUCAAUCCCAGCAUUAUUGGCAAUAGUUCAAUCGUUUAAAGUGAGAAUAUUUUCUUGGCCAUAACCAGCAUUCCUGCUAAUGAUAAAAGAGUUAAAGCUGCUUUGUUUCAUGUGAUGACUUUGAAGUAAUGCGAUCUGUUGCCCAGAGGUACAGCCCAAGAGGGGGGGUGAACUGGGUCUCUUAAAAAAAAAAAUAUUAACGUUGAAACAUAUGGAGAGUAUGAGUUACUAAUAUCUUAUAGAUUCAGCAGCGGAAAUGAGAUUGCACAAAUAUGACAGUAAAUAAAAGUUAGGAAUGCAGUAAGGAAUAUGCAGAGGAAAGAAAGAGAAGAACCGUAAUCACAAACACCAAGGUUUAUAGUGGUUCGGUGCACUUCAAGCCUAGCUUGAGAUUUUCACUAUAACCCAGCAGAUUACAGCCUGAUUGUUUUCCGGGCUCACAAUCAAAAUUCCAGUUGGUUUUUCCAGACAACCAAGCGAAGAUCUUUUGUUUUCCCGGGCUCACAAACAACCCAGUUGGUUUUCAGAUGAACCAACCAAAACUUUACACCGUUUGUUUUUCCGGGCUCACAAACAACCCAGUUGGUUUUCAGAUGAACCAACCAAAACUAUCAUCCUUGCUGAAUACACCUGAUUCAGCAACUUCCAAUCAAGGCUUGGAAGAGCCUUUACAAGUUUCAAAUCAAUAAAACUGUUAUAGCAGCAAUUAAUCCAACUAAAAGAAUGCUGUAACUUGAAAACUUAAAGCUUCAGAGCAUAUAAAAAAUAAAUCAAUGAAAGCAAAAAGCUGAAGCCGAUGAAGUAGUUUGCUGUGGAAGGAUGUUCCAAUGUCUGAACAGCAACUCUUCACGAUGCAGUGAGAAACUUCAACUGAUCUCCUCAUAAGAGAAAGUUUCUGAUUACAGUGUUAGUGAGGAAGAUGAACUGUUAAGCUUUUCUUCUUUUUUUCUCAGUGGAAACCUUUUGUUUUUAAUGAGGUCUUUUUCCUUUCCUUGUUAUUUCCAUUCUGAGGUUUCCUCGUAUUUAUAGACAAAUUCUUCGGCGGGAUUUGAAUUCCUUUCUUCCCGUUCUGAUGAGAAUCUUUUUCUAUUAUAGAAGAAGACAAAAAUCGUUCACAGCUUUCCAUUGUGGUCCCAGCAGUACAAGGGUCGACUCAUGUAUCUCAGGGGUCGACUCAUGUUCUUUCUGGAUUGGCACUUCAAAUCAUGGAGAGAGCUUUUGCUGUGUCAACUUCAAAGGGUUGACUCUUAAUUCUUAAGGGUCGGCUCAUUUUCAUCAGGAGUCGCCUCUUUAAACACAAGGGUCGGCUUACGCUUUAGUUUUUCGGCUAGUGCUGAGGCUGAGCAGGGGUCGACUCUUCAAACGCAAGGGUCGACUCUUCAAUUUCAGGGGUCGACUCAUUUUGAACAAGGGUCGACUCUUCAAGCUUUUCUCAGGCGAUAAAAAACUUUCUGUUUACUACACAAGGGUCGACUCAUGUUUUGCAGGGGUCGACUCUUUGACGAUGUUCCUUGAAUAAAACUUAUCAGAAUCAACUUAAACUUGUCCUUUUUGCUUAGAAGUUGACUCAAGUCUUUCAAACAGAAAACUUUAGACUUCUUCUCUGAUCUCUAUGGACUAGAUUAAAAUCAAUUCCUUUUAGAAUAUGUCCAAUGAGAUAUUUGCGAAGAACUUAAGAUUUUGCAGUGCUUCAAUUCUUCUGAUUUUUCUUGACUUAUAGAACUUCACAAUUAAGCCAAUGUCAUUAGUACACAUCAUGAUCUCAAGUGUUUUGUAAUCAUCAAAAUUCAUUCUUUAGGGUUGACAAUCUCCCUCGUUUUGAUGAUAACAAAACCAUUGAGUUAAAAAAAAUUUUGCAAUAACUUUCACAGCAAUUAUCAAAAUUUAUAAUGAAGUUCAGAGCAAAUAUGACAUUCAGAGACAUAUGCAUAAUUUCAUCAAAUUAAGAAAAAAAAUCUUCCCCUAACAGUUAUAACCAUUUGAAUUAUGCAGAGUUCUUGUUCUUCAUCUUUUCUUAAGUUUUGUUUGCCAUCAUAAUUUAAAUCUCCCCCUAUAUAUUAUCUUUAAUGUAGAGAUUGCUCAGAUUAGAAUUCUUUUUCAUAUAAUUCUUCCGAUUUGUAUUCUGAAUUCUUUUCAUAUUUCUUAUCUCUAUAUAUUUCUCCCCCUUUUUGUCAUCAACAAAAGGAAGGAAAUUAAACAUAAUUUCUGAUACUAACAUUAAGGAUUAAGAGUUGAUUCAAUAUGUAUCAGAGCAGCAUACAAACCAAUAAGGACAUUUACUGCAUUUCAAGAAAGGUAAGCAUUCAUUACUUUUGAUAGAUGAAGCGCACUUGAUAAAUCGAAAAGAUUACAAUUGAGAUCAAUUUGUAUCAGACAGCAUACAAGUGUGCCAAAAAAAAUCAUGAAACUCAGCUUAGUACAAGGUUAUGUUUUGAAAACUAAGCUAAGGGUAGUUUCAGUUUAGGGUCAGUUUAGGUUCAAGGUUUUGAAGAUGAAGGUCCAGACUGAUCUUUCUUUGGCUCUUUCAUCAGCUUGUCAAUUUUACUGUUUAGUGCAGUGAUGGAGCUAGUGAGCUGACUGUGUUCUUCUUUCAGUUCUUGUAAAAUGCCUUGUACAAAAUUUCUUUGAAUCCUAAGUUGCUUUUCAAUUGCAGCCAUUCUUAUUUGUUGAUUAGCUACAAGUUGCCUUAAACCAUGCAGUUCUGCUUUCACUUCAUGGGUCAUGUUAGUGAGAUGAUGGACUUUGCUAAAACUGACCCCAGAAUUAAGCAGUGCUUUGAUAGUGUCAUCCCCAAUAGCUUUUAACUGCCAUUUCUCAAGUCUGAGUGGAGGAUCUGAUGGCCUUUGUAUUGGAGGAGGCUGACUGACUGAUGGUUCUGUUGGAGGUGCUUGUGUAGGGAUUCUUUUGCCUUUUAGUGGUGUAGUAGUGUCUUGACCACUUUCAUCUUGAGAUCCUUUCCCUUUAUGAGUCCAUUUUUCCUCAGAUUUGACAAAUCCCAUCCUCUUCAGUGAUUUGUCAUUGUAAACAUCAGAAGAUGAUAAUUCUUUCUUGGUUUCUCCUUCUAGAUUUACAUUGAAGUUACAAAGGACUUGAGUUAAGACCAUACCAUAAGGAAGUGAAGCUUCUUUUCUUUGACCUUGAGCUUCCAUGUAUCUAAGCAUCAGGCAGGGUAGGUUCAGUGGGAGUCCUUGGAUGAUAUGGUGCAUUACUAGUAUAUCCCUUUCUGAAAUAUGAUCAAAUUUCCGUCUUCGGGAAGAACAUCUUGUUGAUCAUGUGAUGCAGCAGACGCAUCUCUGCAUUCAGUUGAUUGGCACUGAUCUCAGUCCAAUCUUCUGUGACUUCUCUGUUCAAAAUGGUACUAAUCCCUUCAUUCCUAUUUUCUAGAUGAUCUCUAUUUUCUCCAUCAUUUGGAAUCCGAAGGGUAUCUCUAAGAAUCUCUUCAGUAAUUAAAAAAGGUGCAUCUUUUACCUUGGACGAGAUCUGUCCUUCUCCAUAUCUGGCAUUGUUGUAGAAUUCUCGUACCAGGUCUGGUAGGUUGGCACAUUCAGAGAGCAUANNNNNNNNNNNNNNNNNNNNNNNNNNNNNNNNNNNNNNNNNNNNNNNNNNNNNNNNNNNNNNNNNNNNNNNNNNNNNNNNNCGGAGGUGACAGAGGAGUCGUAACGGGUUGAGGCGGUGAUGUUACUUCCUUCUGUGGAUUCUCUGCCCUAGCCUUCGUUCUCCUCUCUGUGUGUGGAGUGGUAUUCUUCCUCUUUGGUCCAGAUGUUACUUGCUUGAUUCUCAGCAUUAGAAGAUCAAUCAGAACCUCGGAAGGAUUUUCUAGGAUUUUUGGGAGUUUCUAGUUCGAAGAAGAGUUUGAAGACAAAAAAGACGCUCUAAGGGUUAUCAAACGUUUCAGGUUCAACGUUUCAGAGAGAGAGAAAAUCUUUUAGAAUCCGUUUCGAAUAGUUUCCUCUUUAGUCGACUCAUCUAACUCAUGAGUCAUCUCCGAUGAACUGAGAGUCGACUCUUUUAACUUAAGAGUCGUCUCUUGUGAGUUAGGGGUCGACUCUUUUAACUUAAGAGUCGUCCCUUCAUAAGUCGACUCCUUAUUUACAUGAGUCAUUUUCUCAGACUGUUCAAAAGACAAAAUCUUUUUGAAUAACAUUUAAAACUUAAUUGCAGACCACGGAUUAAAUCAACUAAAAUUCAACCAAUGAUAGUCAAUCAAAAUACAUAAUUUAUCAGUAAUAAUCAAUCAUUAAAAUGGAUCACAAAUGCAUAAUUCACCUCUAAAUUUACACAAUACUUCUUCAUUAAGAGGUUUAGUGAAAAUGUCUGCAAUUUGUUUAUCAGUAUUUAUAAAUUUUAUUUUUAUAUCCCCAUUUUGAGCAUGAUCUCUUAUGAAAUGAUGUUUGGUUUCUAUAUGUUUAGAUCUUGAGUGUUGUAUGGAAGUUUUAGUCAAAUUUAUGGCACUAGUGUUGCCACACCUUAUAAGAGUUUUAUUUUGUUUUAUGCCAUAAUCCUUAAGCUGUUGCUUGAUCCAUAGGAUUUGGGCACAGCAACUUUCUGCAGCAAUAUAUUCAGCCUCAGCUGUAGAUAGUGUUACGGAGUUUUGUUUCUUGCUAAACCAAGAAAUUAAGUUUGUUCCAAAGAAUUGACAAGUUCCACUUAUACUUUUUCUGUCUAAUCUACAACCAGCAAAAUCAGCAUCUGAAUAUCCAAUCAAGUCAAUUGUAGAUGCCUUAGAAUACCAUAAACCUAGGUGUUGUGUUCUUUUUAAGUAUCUUAAUAUCCUUUUAACCGCAAUUAAGUGUGAUUCUUUAGGAUUUACUUGAUAUCUUGCACACAUACAAACACUAUGCAUUAUAUUAGGUCUAUUUGCUGUAAGAUAAAGUAAAGAUCCAAUCAUUCCUCUAUACAACUUUGAAUCAAAGGAUUUACCAUGCUCAUUUUUUUCUAAUUUAUAAGAGAAGCUCAUAGGAGUACCUAUUGAUUUUGAAUCUUCCAUACCAAACUUCUUUAAGAUAUCCUUUGUGUAUUUGCUUUGGCAGAUGAAGAUUCCAUCUCUUGUUUGCUUGAUUUGGAGUCCAAAGAAGAAGUUGAGUUCACCUAUCAAACUCAUCUCGAACUCACCUUGCAUGAGCUUAGCAAAUUCUUCACAUAAACUUUCAUUAGUAGCUCCAAAUAUCAUAUCAUCAACAUAUAUUUGAACAAUCAGUAUAUCAGAAUUUUUCUUUUUAAUAAAGAGAGUUUUAUCAACAUUUCCUCUUGAAAAAUUGCUCUUUAUUAAAAAUUUGCUUAACCUAUCAUACCAAGCUCUAGAAGCUUGCUUCAAUCCAUAAAGCGCUUUGUUCAAUUUAAAAAUAUGAUUUGGAAGUUUAUGAUUUUCAAAUCUAGGUGGCUGUUCUACAUAAACUUCUUCAGUUAUGAAACCAUUUAUAAAUGCACUUUUGACAUCCAUUUGAAAUAAUUUAAAAUCCAUGAAACAUGCAAAUGCAAGUAAUAAUAUGAUAGCUUCAAGUCUAGCUACAGGGGCAAAAGUUUCAUCAAAAUCAAUUUUUUCUUCUUGAUUAUAUCCUUUAGCAACUAAUCUAGCUUUAUUUCUAAUUACAAUUCCAUCUUUAUUUAAUUUAUUUCUGAAAACCCAUUUUGUUCCAAUUACAGAAGUAUUUUCAGGUCUUCUAACUAAAUUCCAAACAUUGUUUCUUUCAAAUUGAUUCAGUUCUUCUUGCAUUGCUAUUAACCAAUUGUUAUCUUUUUCAGCUUCUUCAAAAGAUUUUGGUUCUAUUUGAGAAACAAAUGCAAGAUGAUUACAAACAUCUUUAAUGGAGGAUCUAGUCCUAAUUCCUUGGGAAGGAUCACCUAUUAUUAGUUCUCUAGGAUGACUAUGUGCAUACUUCCAUUCUUUUGGUAGACUAGUUUUAUCAUUAAGCAUUUGAUCUUUUUCUUUCUGAUUUUGAUUAUGUUCUGAAUUUUCAGAUUCAGACACAUCCUUUAGGGUCAAUUCUUUGGCUUGCUUAUUGAGUUCUUCUGCAUCAUCAUCGAGAUCUAAAUUCUUUCUUGAUGAAGGGUCAUUAGAUUCAUCAAAGAUAACAUGUAUUGACUCUUCUACAACUAGAGUUCUCUUGUUAAAUAUUCUAUAUGCUUUGCUUGAUGAAGAAUAUCCAAGAAAAAUAGCUUUAUCUGAUUUUGAAUCAAAUUUUUCCAAGUUGUCCUUACCAUUAUUUAGAACAAAACAGAUACAACCAAAAACAUGAAAGUAGGAAAGAUUUGGUUUCUUAUUUUUCAAAAGUUCAUAAGGAGUUUUCUUUAAAAUUGACCUAAUAGUAACUCUUAAAAGAACAUGACAAGCUGUAUUUAUGGCUUCAGCCCAAAAAUACUUAGGUAAGUCACUCUCACAUAACAUUGUCCUAGCCAUUUUAGUAAGUGUUCUAUUCUCUCUCUACAACACCAUUUUGUUGCGGUGUUCUUGGUGCAGAAAAAUUAUGAUCAAUACCAUUUUCAGUACAGAAAUUUUCAAAAUCAUGAUUUUCAAAUUCAGUUCCAUGAUCACUUCUAAUCUUAAUAGUUUUCAGUCCAUAUUUAUUUGAAAUCUUUUUAUACAGUUUAGUGAAAACUGAAAAUGCUUCACUUUUGGGUGCUAAGAAUAAAAUCCAUGUAUACCUAGAAAAAUCAUCCACAAUAGCAAAGCCAUAAAGUUUUCCUCCUAGGCUUGCAGUUCUAGUUGGUCCAAAUAAGUCCAUAUGCAGAAGCUCUAAAGGCCUAUUAGUGGAAACAUCAUUUUUAGACUUGAAGAAGGUUCUGGUCUGUUUUCCUAGUACCGACUUUUAAAGCACUAUUGGGCGGUAGUUCCUAUGCUUCAUUCGUAAACCAUCUUUGAGGACAAUCCACUCGACAAACAAUUCAUUAAUGACGAGAAGUUGGCAUGCAGAGCAGAUUUUAUCUUUUUCAAAUGACAAUUUGGACAAACCGAAAACAAGUUCUUUUUGGAUAAGUUUUGAAAUUAAGUCCAUGCUUGCAUGAGCUAAUUUUCGAUGCCAUAACCAGCUAGCUUCACUGUUUUUGGUCUUCAUUGCUACUAGACAGUCCAUGUAUUUCAUGAGUAUUUGAUCUAAAUCAACUAAAUAUAUAUUUCUAUAUCUAUGUCUAGUAAAUAUUAUAUCACUGUCAUUACUACUAGAAACUAAGCAUAAUGAUGAUUCAAAAGUCACAACAUAUCCUUUAUCACAGAAUUGACUAAUGCUUAGCAAAUUAUGUUUCAAUCCAUCUACCAAUAAAAUAUUUUCAAUAAAAGUAGUUGGUGAAAUCCAAAUGUUACCAAUACCAAUGAUUUUGCCUUUUCCAUUAUCACCAAAGGUACCAUUCCUCCAUCUUUCUUUUUGAGGGACAUGAAUUGGGAUUCAUCCCUUGUCAUGUGUCUAGAGCACCCACUAUCCAAGUACCAUUUUCUGUUUGAUGCUUGGGAUGCUAGACACACCUGCAAAACAGAAAUUCAAUUCUUUAUCUUUGGUACCCAAGCUUUUUUGGGUCCUUGAAAGUUAGCAAUGAUGGUUCUAUUUGGAACCCAUAUCUUUUGAAUUGAAACAUUGUUCAUAUGAUUUUGACUUAUAGGAUUGUAAGUGGCAUAUCUCUGUUUCAGUUUGUCCAAUUUGAAUGGUACAGAUUUCGGUUUAACAUAAGCGGGUUUCACAAAAAUGUUUUUCAAUGAUUUCUGUUUCUUCCAAGGAUUAUAUCCUAAACCAACUUUAUCAUAAACAACUUUCUGACUUUCUAGAAUUAAAUUCAAUUUCUCAUAGCUUAGGGUGAAUUUAUCAACUAUAGGUUUCAAUUUUUCAACUUCAUUAGCUAACUUCUGAUUUUCUUCAUGCAGUUUCUUCUUGUUAUCCAGAAGCAGUGUAUUUUCUUUUUCUAAAGAUUGGUUCUUAGUCUUCAGUUCCUUGUUCUUUAAGCUAAGCUUUUUAUAUUCAAUCAUAAGCUCAGAAAAAGCAUGUUGAAGCUCAUCGAAAGUGAAAUCUUAAUCAGUAUUCAGAUAUACCUCAUUUUCGUGUCCCAUUAGACACAGGUUUGCAGCUUCCUGUUGUUCUUGUUCUCCAGAGCUGGAUUCAUCACUGUCACUCCAAGUAGCCAUCAUAGCUUUCUUCCUUAAACUCUUUGGAGCCUUCUUUAAUAGAGGACACUCUAUUCGGAAGUGUCCAGGCUUUUUGCAUUCAUAACAAACAUUUUGCUUCUUAUUUUCUUUGCUUUGCUCCCCCUUGAUCACAGACAUUUUCUUGAAGUUUUCUCUAUUUCUUCUAAAGAAUUUUCUGAACUUUCUUGUAAUCAGGGCCAUUUCCUCACUGUCAUUAGGUUCAUAAUCCUCACUUUCAUCCUUAUGCAGAGUAGAUUUAAGAGCGAUGGUUUUGCACUUCUUAGGUUCAUCCUCCUCAAGAUUCUGUUUCAUUGAGAGCUCAUGAGUCAUUAAGGAACCCAGCAGUUCUUCCAGUGGGAGAGAAUUGAGAUCUUUGGCUUCUUGAAUAGCAGUGAUAUUUGUUUCCCAUGCUCUAGGAAGAGACCUAAGAAUUUUUCGAACAAGAUCACUGUUAGAGUAAGACCUACCAAGGCUUUUCAGGCCGUUUAUAUUAUUAGUGAAUCUAGUAAACAUUUCAGUUAUAGAUUCACUGUUUUCCAUUCUAAAUAGUUCAUACUUAUGCACUAGCAUACUGAUUUUAGAUUCUUUGACCUGGUUAGUGUCUUCAUGUGUAACUUCCAGCCUAUCCCAGAUUUCUUUAGCAGUCAUGCAAAUAGAUAUACGAUUAAACUCAUUUGCAUCUAAAGAACAGUAAAGAACAUUCAUGGCUUUUGCAUUCAGUUGAGCCAUUUUUUUAUCAUGGUCAUCCCAUUCAAUCUCAGGUUUGAAUAAGAUGAUGCCAUCAACAAUUUUAGUUGGUGUGUGAGGUCCAUUAAUAAUAAUAGUCCAUAAGUCAUAGUCAAGUGCUUGAAUAAAAAUUCUCAUGCGAGCUUUCCAAUAAGUAAAAUUUGUGCCAUUGAAAAGAAGUGGUCUAUUGGUAAAUUGCCCUUCGGCAACUGAGGAUCCCAUAGUGACUGUCAUGACUUUUAACUCUUGAUUGUUCGAUCAAAAAGUUUCUAGAGUACCAAGCUUUGAUACCACUUGUUGCCUAGAGGUGCAGCCCAAGAGGGGGGGUGAAUUGGGUCUCUUAAAAAAAAAAUUAUUAACGUUGAAACAUAUGGAGAGUAUGAGUUACUAAUAUCUUAUAGAUUCAGCAACGGAAAUGAGAUUGCACAAAUAUGACAGUAAAUAAAAGUUAGGAAUGCAGUAAGGAAUAUGCAGAGGAAAGAAAGAGAAGAACCGCAAUCACAAACACCAAGGUUUAUAGUGGUUCGGUGCACUCCCAGUACUUACGUCCAUUCCUCAAGCCUAGCUUGAGAUUUUCACUAUAACUCAGCAGAUUACAGCCUGAUUGUUUUUCGGGCUCAUAAUCAAAAAUCCAGUUGGUUUUCCCAGACAACCAACCAAAAAUCUUUUGUUUUUCGGGAUCACAAACAACCCAGUUGGUUUUCAGACAAACCAACCAAAAACUUUACACCGUUUGUUUUUUCGGGCUCACAAACAACCCAAUUGGUUUUUAGAUGAACCAACCAAAAUUUUACACCGUUUGUUUUUCCGGGCUCACAAACAACCCAGUUGCUUUUCAGAUGAACCAANNNNNNNNNNNNNNNNNNNNUUUGUUUUCCGGAUCACAAACAACCCAGUUGGUUUUCAGACAAACCAACCAAAAACUUUACACCGUUUGUUUUUUCGGGCUCACAAACAACCCAAUUGGUUUUUAGAUGAACCAACCAAAAUUUUACACCGUUUGUUUUCCCGGGCUCACAAACAACCCAGUUGCUUUUCAGAUGAACCAACCAAAACUUUACACCGUUUGUUUUUUCGGGCUCACAAACAACCCAGUUGGUUUUCAAAUGAACCAACCAAAACUAUCACCCUUGCUGAAUACACCUGAUUCAGCAACUUCCAAUCAAGGCUUGGAAGAGCCUUUACAAGUUUCAACUCAAUGAAACUGUUACAGCAGCAAUUAAGCCAACUAAAAGAAUGCUGUAACUUGAAAACUUAAAGCUUCAGAGCAUAUAAAAAAUAAAUCAAUGAAAGCGAAAAGCUGAAGCCGAUGAAGUAGUUUGCUGUGGAAGGAUGUUCCAAUGUCUGAACAGCAGCUCUUCAUGAUGCAGUGAGAAACUUCGACUAAUCUCCUCACAAGAGAAAGUUUCUGAUUACAGUGCUGGUGAGGAAGAUGAACUGUUAAGCUUUUCUUCUCUUUUUCUCAGUGGAAACUUUUUGUUUUUAAUGGAGACUUUUUCCUUUCCUUUUUAUUUCCAUUCUGAGGUUCCCUCGUAUUUAUAGACAAAUUCUUUGGCUAGAUUUGAAUUCCUUUCUUCCCGUUCUGAUGAGAAUCUUUUUCUGUUAAAGAAGAAGAAAAAAAUCGUUCACAGCUUCCCGUUGUGGUCCCAGCAGUACAAGGGUCGACUCAUGUAUCUCAGGGGUCGACUCAUGUUCUUUCUGGAUCGGCACUUCAAAUCAUGGAGAGAGCUUUUACUGUGUCAACUUCAAAGGGUCGACUCUUAAUUCUUAAGGAUCGGCUCAUCUUCAUCAGGAGUCGCCUCUUUAAACAGAAGGGUCGGCUCACGCUUUAGUUUUUCGGCCGGCGCAGAGACUGAGCAGGGGUCGACUCUUCAAACGCAAGGGUCGACUCUUCAAUUUCGGGGGUCGACUCAUUUUGAACAAGGAUCGACUUUUCAAGCUUUUCUCAGGCGAUAAAAAAACUUUCUAUUUACUACACAAGGGUCGACUCAUGUUUUGCGGGGGUCGACUCUUUGACUGUGUUUCUUGAAUAAAACUUAUCAGAAUCAACUUAAACUUGUCCUUUUUGCUUAGAAGUUGACUCAAGUCUUUCAUACAGAAAAUUUUAGACUUCUUCUCUGAUCUCUAUGGACUAGAUUAAGAUCAAUUCCUUUUAGAACAUGUCCAAUGAGAUAUUUGCGAAGAACUUAAGAUUUUGCAGUGCUUCAAUUCUUCUGAUUUUUCUUGACUUAUAGAAUUUCACAAUUAAGCCAAUGUUAUUAGUACACAUCAUGAUCUCAAGUGUUUUGUAAUCAUCAAAAUUCAUCCUUUAGGGUUGACACGAUCUCUUGUGAAAUAUGUGAAAUCUGGAACAUACAUGUGGGUAGAUAAAAGUCAUGGAGCCCAUGUGAAGUAUGAGAAUUGUGAGAAGAAGAGAGGUGGGAAAACAGAAUUUGAGAGAGAUGAACGGACCAUGCACAGUCCAGAGUUAUUGAAUUGGGACUCUCUUAUCUAGUUUGUGGUUCAAUCCUUUUAGGAUAGGCUUUAGAACUUUUCCUUUUUUUAUAAAAAACAUAGUAUUCUAAAGUAAGUAAAAUUAGAUUGUAGAACCUUGUAUAUGAAUAUAGAUGAAGGGCAAGAUCACAAUCAAGAUGAGCCCAAAUUGAAUUGGGAGGAAUCUUUUAUACUUUUACUAAAGAAAGGUUGCGAUUCCUACUACAAAAAACUCAUGAACAUAAACAAUGCAAAUAAAUAGGGGCUUGUUGGAAUGAAAAAAUUGGGAAAUAUUGACACUUUAAUAUAGUGUUAGGAUUUAAUUAGUUUUAUUAUUAAUUAAGAGAACAUAACACCUAGUUCUUUAUUUGAAUAUCAUUUUAUUAGGGCUUGAAGUGGGCUCGAGCUGGCCCAAGGCCUAUUGGGUCGAGCUGACUUCGGUCGGGCUACGGGCUAGGCUCGAGAAAGUUCAGAUUGGAUUUGGGCUCAAAUGUAUAGCUUAUAAAUAUUUCAGGCCGGGCUCGCGUAGAUCCUUUGCCCGCACUAGCUUGGCUUGAGCCAAAGCCCCAACCAAGCUCGAAAUUGAGCCCUAAGUCAGGCUUAGAGCAAUAAAAAAUGUAUAACCCAAACUUGCUCUCGCUGAUUCCGGCAUUCUACUUCGUUUGGGCCUUGUUGAGUACAGUAUCACCUCCUUUAAAGAUGCCAGCACCCUCGCCUUUCACUUCUUCUCUUGAGCCUCUUGCCAUCUCGACUAGCUCCCUCCCCCACUGCCCAUUAGGCCAUAGUCAAAUCCUCUCAUCUCUACCUACCGCCUCCACCACAACACCACUCCACCACCUCCUCUGCCUCCGACGUCAAUAGCCUCCUCUGACGUCAAGAAGCUCCAACAAUCCUUCACAAGUUCCAUUCUUGACCUCCCAAGAUCGCCCUUGCCCUCACUGACUCUGACGGGCCCCUCCACCAGGGCCUCGUCGAGUGCGUCACCGCCCCCUGCAGAGAUGCAAGCACCCUCGCCUUUCGCUUCUUCUCCUAGGCCUCCUGUCACCUCGAUUACCUCCCCUCACCUUUUGCCCACUGCGCUAUGGUCAAAUCCCUCGCCAAGAUGCUCCAUAUAGGUGUUGCAUGGGCUGUUGUCGAAGAGAUGGAUCGUGAUGUCCCCAACUUCAUCACCCUUGACAUAUGUUGCCCUCAUCUGUCGCUUGCCUUGUCUCCUUGUCUCCCAAGCUAUCGAGGUGCUCAAUGAAAUGCCCAAACAGGUUAAUUUGGCUUGGCUUGAUUGGGUUUCAGGUCAGGCACGAGCCUUGGUUCUUCCAAACAUUUUGGGCCUAUGUUUGGACCAAAACCCGAGUAAAAAAUUCGGGGUUGGGCUUGGGUAGGGGCAUGGCUCGGCUUAGUCUGUUUCUUGCCCUACAUUUUAUGUUUAGCCCUAGCACAAUUAGCAUUUUAUAUUGCAUUUAUUUACACAGUUAGGCUAGUGUUUUGCAUAGAGUUAUGCCUGUUUCUAUGAAUACUUGUAUCUGUUUUGUACGCAUUGUGCUUAGGUGUGUAAAGGGCUAGGGACUAGACAUAAAAGGGUGAUCAAAGUUAAAAGGAAUAUAUAAAAUUUCUAACGAACAAGGGUUGAAUAUAAUUUUGUUGCAUGUCUGCAAAAACUACACCUACUGGUAUACCUGGUGAUACUAUUCUACACUGUAACUAUACUUCAUAUGUUUGAUCUACACAAAACAAGCACCUAUGCAUGAUGUGAUUAGUAUUGGAUAUUGACUAUCCAUUACUUCGAGCAUUACCUUAUGUCUUGAGGUUGUAAAAAGUUUCUUGUCCUAGUCAGUUUCUUUGUUAAAUUUUCUUUCAGUAUUACCUUGAGGAUGAUAGUGUUAUUUUGAUGAUUAACACAACCAUUGAGGAAAUAUCUAAUUAAAUACUACAAGUUAACAUGAUACAUUGUUACUGAGUUCGUCACUCUCGGUACAUUAGAAGAAUGAGAUCAAGAUGUAUUUCAAUGAUUAAUAAUGAGAUAAAAUUUGCGAUAGAAAAGGGAUAGUGAAUUCUAAAUUCUAAUUCGGCAAAGUUUCAAGUGAAACGUACUAUUAAGGGGACAAUAGUAAUUUUCAUUGUUAAGAGUAUGUAGCACUACCAUGGCAUACAUUCAAAAUUGCUUGAAGUAUAUUUCAUUGAUUAUAUGGAUGAAUCUAACCUUAAGUUGCAGCAAAGUGUGGAAUGAGUCGACCCCAAGAUUGGUGGAGUCGACCCCGACACAUCAUGGAACCAUCAGGCACACUUCUGCGAAAAUGGCACGGAUGAACAGUAGUGGAGUCGAUCCCAAGCUUGCUUGAGUCGACCCCAUUUUCAAGCCUCAAGAAAACAAGUCUCUGAAAUUUACUGAGAGGGCCGACCCCAACCUUUCUUGAGUCGACCCCAGAUGGAGUCGACCCCAGGAAUGCUUGAGUCGACCCCAACUGAACAUGAGUCGACCCCAAGGCUGUGUCGUUCAAUACUGUCUCUCUGGAAUCCCUGAGAGGUCGACCCCAAUGGAACUUGAGUCGACCCCACUAUACCUUGAGUCGACCCCAAAAAGUGUUGAGUCGACCUCAGUGAAAAACGGCUGAGAUGUAAGGUUCUAUGUUUCCUGAGAGGGUCGACCCCAAUGAAGCAGGAGUCGACCCCAGUGAAAGUUGGGUCGACCCCAAGUCUGAUGAACAGUGGUUUGAGUCGACCCCAGAAAAGUUUGGGUCGACCCCAGCACGGGCAGAAACAUACGGCUCUGCAGAAGUACUUUUUGUCCUCCCAACAGUAAGUAACGGCUAGUUUUUGAAAUCUAACCAAUGGGGGGUGUCCAAUGGAUGAGGAAAACUAUUUAAAGUGACACUAUUCAUCAGAGAAAACAUCCUUUUGCAAAAUAUCAAAGCAUACACAAGAAAGACAAGAGCCCUAAUUUUCUUUAUCCAAGUGCUUCACUCAAAGAGUCAAAAAGAAGUGGUUGAGCAGAUUCUAAGGGACAUUAAGAGCUCCAUCAACCCUUGAAGAGUGAAGCAAUCUUGACAAAGAAGAGAGAAGUCUCAUCAAGCGAUAACUAUAUUCUAAACUCUUCUUUGUAGCUUAUAAUUGUUAUAUUUGCUCAUAUAGGAGUUUCAACUUUGUUCUUUUUAAUCAUCUUGUAAAAGGUUUGUUGGUGAGCCUGUAAAACCAACGGUGUAGGUUUGUUGGUGAACCCGUAAAACUAAUUGUGAAGGUUUGUUGGUGAGCCCGUAAAACCAACAUAGGUUCUUGGUGAUCCCGGAAAACCAAGGUGUAAAGGUUUUUGGAUUGUGAGCCCGGAAAAUAAUCCAACUAUAAUCUACGGAAUUAUAGUGAAUUCCCAAGGGGUCGCUUGGGGAGUGGACGUAGGUGCUUAGGAGAGCACCGAACCACUAUACUUCUUGUGUGUUUGCAUUAUUUAUUGUUUUAAUUUAACUCACUCAUCAAUUGACUCAAUUAAGAUAGUAAAAAUUUAGAGAAACCAAUUGAUCCCCCCUCUUGGCUUGUCACCUUGGGCAACAUACCUUUUUUUCUUUUAAGAGUUGUGUUUAUUGCUCACUUGAAUAAGAAAACGGGGCAUUGUUGUCUAGUAGGUUCAUGUUGUAUACUAUAUUUAUGUUAGAAACCGCCCAUGCCGCAGAAAAAUUUAAAAAAUUCAGACGCAGUGGAAGAGGCAUGUGCGGGAUCAACCGUUCAUCGCAUGAACGUUGUUCAAAAACUGUUCGUAGUUAGAUAAGGAUUAAAAACUUUUAAAACAUUAGGAAGAUCAAAUCUUCACCUUUGUGCGGGUAGAUGAUCACCGCAAACUAAUGAUCGUGGUUUAGGAUGAAGGUUCGCUUGAAGCCGCACAAGCGUCCGGCCUCUACGGGUAUCCACACGAAGUAAAGAACCGAUCAAAGCUUCCUUGUCUCCCCGGGGUGCUAGCUCCCUUGCAGAGACAACUUUAGAUGGCUGAUCUUCUCUCUUUUGAUCAACCCUUGAUUGUGCUUGGGAGGAGGAAGAAGAAAGAUGGAUCUUUGGAGAAGAACCAAAGCACCUUGCAGCCUAUUUCUCCCCUUUGCGUUGGAUGAAGAAGGGAAGAAGAUGAGGCCGCCAACACCACCUUUUCUUUGCUCCUUGCUUGCGGCUGAUCCAAGGGAGAGGAGAGGGAGGCCACGGCUUGGAGGGGAGAGGGCUUCAAUUGAAUGCCCUAGGGUGCCGCCAAGUCUCCUUUUAAAGCAUGAAGGGCUCCUACAAAUUAGGAGCCCUUGAUCCCUUUCCAAGAGGGGCGCCGGCCCCUCUCUUCAUGCCGCACCAAGAAGCAAAAGGAGGAGGGGCGUGACCCCCUCCUCUUGUGUUGCCCUAGUCCUCCUUUAAGGAGGAUUAGGAGGGCCCUAUUUGGUUUAGUCAUAAUCUCAUUAGGCUUUAACCAAAUCAUGAACCAUUUGGGUCUAAUCUAGGUAAGUCCUAAUCCAAUUAGAACUCAAAUCAAUUUUGACUCAAUUGAACUCUUCAAUCCUAAUCUAAUUAGGAGUCUUGUUAAUUCAUUAGAUUAAUAAUUAAUUAGGACUUAAGAAAUCCUAAUCCAAUUAGGAUUUAUUCAUUUUUAGUCCUAAUCCAAUUAGGACUCUAAUUUGAAUCCGAAGUCCUAAUCCAAUUAGGAUUUCUAGGAAUCCUAUUCUAAGUAGGAAUGCAAAAUAAAUUCAAAAUCCUAAUCUAAUUAGGAUUGUGGGAAUCCUACUUCAAGUAGGAAUCCCAGUCCUACUCCAAGUUAGGACUCCCAGUCCUAAUCCAAUUAGGACUCUAGGAAUCCCACUCCAAGUAGGAUUCGUGUUUUAAGUCCAAUUAAUCAAUUCCCAUUUUUUUUCAACUUAUUAUCAAUCGAAUUGAUUACUUGUGAUUCAUAAUCACUUUUCAACCAUCGGAUCGGUCAAUACUUCUAGUGUGUGUGACCCCAUAGGUUCUAUUCUGACUGGUAGUGAGAUAUAUUGUGAUCUUUAUCUCAAUAUCAUUGAAAACUCCUUUCAAUGGGUUGGAACGAUUCCAACUCAACUCAUUAGGGUUUAUCGAUCAUCGAAAUAUUUUCUGUGAGUCUCACCAUCCACUAGUGACACCUAGCAGCAUGUAGUGGCUACCCAGCAGAAUAGAAUGAUGAACCUCUAGGUGCAGUUAAUAUGUGAUACAGUCUUACUAUCGUGCAUCCCUACAGGACGGAGGUCAUGGACAACUCGUCAAACCCCAUCGUCUGUCGUAUGUGAAGAUUUAUUCGAAUUAAGUUCGAGAGUGAAAAACUCUUUCUCCACUGUGCAUACUGCUCCGGCCGAGGUCUUACGAACUCAGUCUUNNNNNNNNNNNNNNNNNNNNNNNNNNCUAUCAAGGUCGAUAGAUUCCUUAUAGGUGCAUACCCUACUCCUACAGUGAACCUACUGCAGCCAAUCUACACUGCAUGGACCCAUAUGGCUAGAGAUCAUGUAUGUGUGCAGUCAAACUACAAUAAACUCACUGUGAGUAGCCGAAGCACCGCAGGUCAAAGGACCAGUCAUACUACUGCAACAUCAAGCAAGUCACUGACGAGUGGAUAGAUAUCCAAGUGACUUCUUGUCUUGGUCACGCUCAGUACCCUUGUUCUCUAACAAGCACCUGCACUAUCACUUCAGUGUCCCUACACUGUGGACUCGAGUCUCGUCCAUCCGUAAGAAAAUGAUGUGUGCACUGAUCGGAUCAAUCACCGUCCUCGUGAUGAUCCAUCGAUCAGGAGCAUUUAGAAAUUAAUCACCAAUGAUACAUAGCUCAAAUUCUCAACUCUUGAGAAUAUGCAUCAUCAUCUUAUUAAUUUCUUGGACGAUUCAUAGACAGAUAAACAAUAUGAAUGAAAAAGAAUGCCCAACUUAAUAAAUUAAUAAUAAGAUCAAGUACAAAUUUAUGUCCCAGAAUAAAAAUGCGUCAGCCAAAUUGGCUUCUAGGACAUACUUCUAACAAUUUCCUCGUGAAAUAUUAUAAUAUUUCAUUUGAGCAUAUUCUUCUAAAUCUAUCUCUUCCUCCCCUCCUCUAUCCUGUUUUCAUUCAGUAAUUUGAUAUUUUCUCUCUACUUUUCCUUUUAAAUAACAUGUGUCAAGCUCUUGAAAGAUUUUAAUUGCCUGUAAAAAUGAUAUAUAGAAGAAACCUGUGCCCUCUUUGAAUUUUUUUACAAUUAAGUUUUUUUAUCAUCUAGAAAAUUUUCCAUUUUAUAUAACUUUUCCUUAAAUGGUUUGUUCUGAUCUUCCUUGUCCAUCUCAUUAUUAUUGUUAUAUUCCCCCUUUUGAUGCUUGUUAACAUAAUUGUGAAUGAACUAAUGCACUUGCCAUUGAAAAAGUAACUUCACAUUAGCACCCAACUUAUUAAAGGAUAAUCGUUCCCUCUUUAGCUUGCAUUGUUUAGAUUGAUUACACGAUUGAUUCCUUUCUCGUGUGUUUUGUAUGAGAAGCUAUCAAAUUCUUUUUCAUCUUUAGAGAAACAUGUGUCAAAUCCUUUGUUUUUACUUUAAACACUUUGCAAAAAUAUGCAGUUGAUUUUCUAAAUGUCAUUGAGAUAUAAGGCAAAGACUUUAUCGCAUACAUAUACAACCAUUCAGCUUGAGUUAUCCAUUUACGACGACCAUACCUUUGGUAGAAACGAAAGUGAAAAAUAAAUGCUCAUAAUCCCCACCUUCUCACCUACCUUCAUUGAGAUUUAUGCAAAAGUUACUAGAGGCGCCAAGGUCUAUUAGAGCCUAAGCACAAGGUGCAAAGCAAGGAAGUGAAGAGCAACAUGUGCAAGCAUGCGUGCAUGUCUGUGUACAUAUUAAACAUACUUGAUAAUGAAGAAAAUAACGCAAACACCACACAAAUGCACUUCUUAGUAGUCCAAAUCUUUGAGCAAUGCCUUCUGAAUCUUCCCAGAAUUUUGAAUCUGACCUACUUAAGUCUUUUUUUAACUAAAAAUGUUCCUAAAAUAUCCGCUUCCCUACACCUGCACCUGCACCCCUCCUGCAUCUGCUCUUGAUUCUAGAAACUAAGAACCAUAUGCAAAUCAAAAAAUAACUCUAGUCACACCAACAAACAGUCAUAGAAAUGUGAAUACAAAUGCAACGUAUCUACACAAAUAGUUAUUACAGAACACAACACACAACAGCAA